rnacentral:misc_RNA from 1 species
AAGAAACAAGGCAGAAGAUCGAAAUUCUGAGCGAGUGGCAGAGGAAGGAUAGGGAGGAAGGAGGGCAGGAGAUGGAGAGGUAGGGGAAGGAGAGGGGGAGCUGAGCGCUGAUUGUGGCUCCAUUUGUGUGGAUGCUAAUAAGGAUUUAAAGCGUAUGAAGGCCAAUUUUGAAGAGUUUUGUGACGAUGAUAAGAUUUUGGUGUUCUUCAAAAGGUUUUUGAACAAGUGGAUACAGGUGUUGGAUGAGAUGCCUGAGGCAGAGAAGCGGACGGCCAAAGGGAAGUCAAUGUUUGCUACCUUUAGACAGUGCGCAGUGUAUUUGAAUCCAUUCUUCAAGUUUUGCAGGAAGAAGUUGAGCACUUUGGCUUUAAUUUAUCGCCUAUGUUGCUUUGAAUAUUGUUACUAUUUCAAUUCAAUAAGAGUUUGUCAAUUAAUGUCGAUAUGGAGCUCCUUCUUUUGCAUUUUUUUCUUUUGGCAAUAAAAUGAGCCAAGCAUGUUGCACGGCAGUAUAAAUCAGUACAAUUUGCGACUAUAAGUUACAAAUUUCCUCAGAAACUUGCAUACUAGGAAAUGGGGGACAUGGCAAUUUUCCUGCCACUGGUGCAACAUUGAGCAGGUAACUAAUCCUUUUUGUCAUAAGUAGUUUGUAAGGAUAUCAUAUAAUGAGUUAGUAAUCCACAUUUUGCUGUGAAUUAGAGCCAUAUAGCUUAUUAUUGGAUCCAAGAGUGUCUUUACUUUUGUUCAUAUUUCCCUAAUCUGCUAGUAGUGUUCUACCAUGCCUACCUCUAUCUUAUUAUUCAUAGCAGUUGUAUUAGCGAAAUAUUGCAUCAGGUACUUCUGUUUUAUCUGUUUUUUUAUUUCUAUCACAAGGGGGUGAUUAUGAAAUGAGUUCUAGGUGAAUGGCCAAUUGGUGUCACUAUGGUUGGUAACUUGGCAUUCAUGAACGUUCAGCUUAUGAGAAGAUUUACACCAACAGUGUUGCCUACCUUAUGAAUGAUGAGACUACCCCCAGAGACUUACAGUCGUCGAAAUUGAUGACCUCUUGCUAACAGCGCUAUCCAACGGUGCCAUCUAAAGCAGUAGAGUUCAACAGCUUGGCAAAUGGCAGUGAUGUAAAGUCUUUACCAGUAGACGAGUGGUUCUCCGGUGGUAAUCAGCCUUCGGGAGGAAGGCUUCAGCUAAUGCCUGAUGUCAAAUGUAUAAUAAUUUUCCUGUACCAUUCUUAAUGCCAUCAGUUGUUUAUGCAAUGCAGUGAUAAAUUCACACUGUUGGAUUCUUAAGUCAUUUUUGGUUUGUUUACUGAAGCAUUGGUUGAAGUGAUCAUCGAGAAUUAGAGAAUUCCAUCGGAAUACAUACGCUCACGCGCGAUUUCUACAUUUUAGCAUGGUCUCUAUAGGGCAGCAAUUUUCAUAUAAUUUACUUAGCAGCUUUAUUUUUGAGGUACUUUCCUCUUCCCCCAUUGUAAUGCAAAAUUUCUGGAGUGGCUUAUUUGAUGGCCCCCUGGUUUUCACGCUACCAAAUUGUGCGUGGAAAUGGUUUUCGUUUUUCAUGAUAUGCAGUGCAUGAUGGGCUGAUGUAUCUUUCAAAGUGUUUAGAAAUGGUUACUAUAGCUGGUUUUCCAAAUCUUCACCCUUUGGGUUGGCAGGCAGUCCUUAGCUACUGCGCUUUUCUAAGCCAUGGAGUGGUGCUUGUAAGGAAUAUGCUCAAACAGGCCUUUUAUUUGUUGGACUGCGAUUUUCUUUUCCUUUUUUAAUCAAGCCAACGUUAGCCACCUAGAAUAUAGAGGGAUAAGAUUUACAAAAACGUAGAAGAAUUAGUCCUUGGCUCCUUGCCUCCUUGGUGGGACCAAAGUAUCAAAGCCAGAAAACUUAUUGGUCCAAGCAAUAUCUACUUAUCCAGAUAACGAAUUCGAAACACCACACACAUCUGAAAAGCGAAAAUCAUCUACCCCUUCCUUCUCACUUAGCCAAAUUGAUAAAACAGAAAUACCCACAAUCUUUCCUCCUCCAAAUUUGCAUAAUCAUGGCAAACCAAGCAGGUCUCUUCACCCCCGCCAUCACCGCCCCAAAAUCCAGUAAGUCCCCUCUGGUUCCAUGGAAACCUACCUCUUCCUUUUCAUUCACCAUCCCCAACUCUCUCACUUUUUCCGCCGCCCAAAGAUCUCUCAAAGUUGCCGCUGCUGAAGAGAAAACUGAAGCUCCCACAAAAGAGGCUCCAGUGGGUUUCACCCCACCAGAAUUGGACCCAAAUACACCCUCACCAAUCUUCGGUGGCAGCACUGGAGGGUUGUUGCGCAAGGCUCAAGUUGAAGAAUUUUAUGUUAUCACAUGGGAUUCACCUAAAGAACAAAUCUUUGAGAUGCCAACUGGAGGUGCAGCUAUUAUGAGGCAAGGGCCUAACUUGCUCAAGUUGGCCAGGAAGGAGCAGUGUUUGGCUCUUGGUACCAGAUUGCGAUCCAAGUACAAGAUUAAGUACCAGUUUUAUAGGGUAUUUCCUAAUGGAGAGGUUCAGUAUCUUCACCCCAAAGAUGGAGUUUAUCCUGAGAAAGUGAACCCAGGACGCCAAGGAGUUGGGCUGAACUUCAGAUCCAUUGGAAAGAACGUUAGUCCCAUUGAGGUCAAGUUCACUGGCAAGCAAGUUUAUGAUAUAUGAAGCAGCUAGCUAUGUAUUUAUGGAUCCCUCCGUUGCUGGAUCAUUGAUGUACUUUUAUUGUUCAAAGCAAUGCUUGAAAUCUGAAUUUUUUUUUCCUAAUCCUAAAUUUAAUCUCAACCUUUGCGUUAUUAAUCCAGAUCCAGUUUGCAGAAAUUUUAUUGCUUUUAUGGUCCAGAAAUUUAGUUAAAUCACUCAUGAAUUACAUUAUGUUGCGCUGGAAACAAAUCAUUAAGAAAUUCAUUUUUGAAAAUUAAAGAUCAAGUGUCUUUCAAUUGCAAAUUAAAUGAAAGAAAUGGAGGACUGACAAUCUUUUAAUUCACCCAGCUCAAAAAGAAUAAUCCCAAAUAAUUUAAUUUUAAAUUAAUAAAAUUACUUCGCAAUAAAUUUAAAAAAUAUUGAAAAUUUUAGAUUUUCACAUGUUACUCGUCCAAAAUUUAGUAAUUUAAAAUAAAAUAAAUAUAAAAAUUCAAAAAUAAAA